rnacentral:lncRNA from 1 species
ACUAUGAGAACUUCUGCUGUAGGCGCUCAUUUGUCCAUGGCGUAGCCAGGUGGACGUGCUUCAAAGAGCUGUGAGAAUCCAGGAAGACAUCUCACCUCAGAAGGGUGCAGCUGGGUUCUAUCCAUGUCAUCGACUUCUAGACUUACGACUAAGACCCGUGCUUUCUGUCACAACCACGAAGAGAAGGAUCCCCUAGAGGAAGAUUAGCCCUGAGCUAACUACUGCCAGUCCUCCUCUAUUUUCGCAGAGGAAGACUGGCCCUGAGCUAACAUCCAUGCCCAUCAUCCUCUACUUUAUAUGUGGGAUGUCUACCACAGCAUGGCGUGCCAAGCGGUGCCAUGUCCGCACCCAGGAUCCGAACCAGCGAACACUGGGCCGCCGAGAAGCGGGAAGUGCAAACUUAACCGCUGCACCACUGGGCUGUUCCCCCCAAGAAUUCUUUUUUCAAAGGUGUGAAAGCCCCCGCUCACCAGCCUGCCUUCGCUUGACAAAUGAUGAAGAUAAUGAAAGUGAAGGUGCAGAGCGGAACGGCCAAGACAGUCUGGGCACGUCUCUCAUCACCACCUGUUUGGUGAGCUUGUGUUUAUUCCCCGCCUUUGAAGGGCUGGCAGGCUGUGUGAACGUGAACUGGGCCUGGGCCUGCGAACACCCAGAUCCCGGAGCAAAUCGAGGUGGGAAGACAGAUAAAGGAAAUGCUUUCAAACAAUAUUGCUUUCUCUAAUUAGUGCAGACAGAGAGCCCCCCGAGGAGUUUCAGGUGACCUCAGCCUUGCGAGGCGCAGAGAAGUCUGCAUUCCUAGGUCCUUCUGUUUGAGACUCUACUGAGAGGCUUCAGGCUGCACUGUGCACAACCUCUUACGGUCAGGCCCUGCAAGCUUAUGCUGCUUCACCUUCCCUUUGCAUACCGUGGAGGAAAAAUCAUAAUGCUCACUGUGGGCCAAAGCCUUUGUUAUGCUCAGGGCUUCGGAAGAUUGGAUUACUACAACACUACGGAAGAGAAAACUGAGGUUCACAGAGGCUAGCAACUCUCCAAGGCCCCACAGCAGAUAUCUCAUCUAGUCGGAACUUGCUCCUAGGCCUGUCUGGCUCUCAGCUGCCACACCACGCUGCCUCCCUUGAGGAAAGGAUGGUUGAUGUGGGAUAUGUUGGAACAAUGCAGCCUCCUGAAAUCAGCUUUGCCUUUAAAGACAGAAGUGACAGGGGCCAAAGAGUGCACAGGACUGGCUGGACAGGGUUAGGAGUCACAUGUGUCAGGUCCUAGUUGGACUGGACCACUCCCUGACCACAAGAGCUCUAGACAACCACUGGAACUUUCUGAGCUCACGUCCUCAUCUGGAAAUGGAGCAAACACCCUCUGCCCUUUCCACUUUACAGGAUGAUUCUGAAGGAGGUUUGUGGACUGAAAAGUACUUUAUGACUGUAAGGGCUUCCUGGAUGAGACAUUUUCAAAAAAGAGCUGUGAUUACAGGAGUAACGUAGGCAUAUUUUGUUUUCUUAUGAUAGGUCCCUGAUGUGUUUUUAGAUAUGUUAAACUUUCACAGAGUCUCAUCUUCAAAAACACAGUCCUGUAAGAUCCUAGGCUUUUUUAUGUCUGAGUUAUAACGAAUAAAUGAACACCAAUCCUUGUAGCGGGCAGAAGCAACUUCCUUGAAAGUCUUCUCGUGGUGGGUGUUCUGGCUCAAACGCUUCCCAGUCUGGUUAGAUAAAAAAAAUUUAGUAUGACCUUCUUUUGUAUUGUUUAUUGGCCAAUACGUUUCAUGCCUCAUUUGCCCUCAAAUUCACAUUUUUAUUCACCAGAGUAUUUGCUCUGCCUUUGUGUGUGCGUGUGUGUGUGUAUGCCUGUGCGUGUGUGUGCUCAUGUGCUCACUACACAGU